UACAGAGGGGGCAAGCGUUGUUCGGAAUUACUGGGCGUAAAGGGCGCGUAGGCGGCCUGCUAAGUCGAACGUGAAAUCCCUUGGCUCAACCCAGGAACUGCGUCCGAUACUGGUUGGCUUGAAUCCGGGAGAGGGAUGUGGAAUUCCAGGUGUAGCGGUGAAAUGCGUAGAUAUCUGGAGGAACACCGGUGGCGAAGGCGACAUCCUGGACCGGUAUUGACGCUGAGGCGCGAAAGCCAGGGGAGCAAACGGG
rnacentral:rRNA from 1 species